rnacentral:lncRNA from 1 species
CAGAAAACCUUAACUGCUUUGAUACCAGUGAAGAAUGAAAUUAAAAUUAUAAAUCAAACCCUAACCUACAGGUUUCUAGUCCAAACGGAUCUUUAGCUGUUUUACCGACUGGUCUGUAGUGUGAUCAGUGCGAAGACACUAAUUUUUCACGGUCUAAGAGUCUCUGAGGAAUAAUGGAAUAAUGGAGAGAGACUCUUGAAUUCUAGGAAAGGAGGAG